rnacentral:lncRNA from 1 species
AUGAUCAGUCAUUUCAGAGCCACCGAAUCAAGCUGUAAAGAGAAGGAAGUUGUUGCUAGAAGCUUUACGAAGAGUGUUUCGGUUAGGGUGACCAGAUGUCCCGAUUUUAUAGGAACAGUCCCGAUAUUUGGGGCUUUUUUUUUAUAUGGGCUCCUAUUACCCCCCACCCCUGUCCCGAUUUUUCACACUUGCUAUCACCCUAGUUUCGGUAGCUUGCCAGUCCUGCUCCUGCUGAGGUCUGAGAAGAUUCUGGAGUGGCCAUACAGAACACACAAGUGUGCUGGUAAUUUUGAUGGGGGAGUUCAGGAGAUGGAGCGCAACGUGAUUCAAGACAAAAGAGUCUCCAUUCUGAUUACUGCUCCAUUGUGUGACAGAGCAAAACAUUUCAAUGUGGUUGAGACUGAAUUUGAGUCAAGAAAAUACAAGUUGCAGACGGAAGGGGACAUGGCAGAUGUCUUUCACCCUGGCUAG